UGGGGAAUAUUGGACAAUGGGCGAAAGCCUGAUCCAGCCAUGCCGCGUGUGUGAAGAAGGUCUUCGGAUUGUAAAGCACUUUAAGUUGGGAGGAAGGGCAUUAACCUAAUACGUUAGUGUUUUGACGUUACCGACAGAAUAAGCACCGGCUAACUCUGUGCCAGCAGCCGCGGUAAUACAGAGGGUGCAAGCGUUAAUCGGAAUUACUGGGCGUAAAGCGCGCGUAGGUGGUUUGUUAAGUUGGAUGUGAAAUCCCCGGGCUCAACCUGGGAACUGCAUUCAAAACUGACUGACUAGAGUAUGGUAGAGGGUGGUGGAAUUUCCUGUGUAGCGGUGAAAUGCGUAGAUAUAGGAAGGAACACCAGUGGCGAAGGCGACCACCUGGACUAAUACUGACACUGAGGUGCGAAAGCGUGCGGAGCAAACA
rnacentral:rRNA from 1 species